rnacentral:rRNA from 1 species
CCUACGGGUGGCAGCAGUGGGGAAUAUUGCACAAUGGGCGCAAGCCUGAUGCAGCGACGCCGCGUGAGCGAUGAAGGCCUUCGGGUCGUAAAGCUCUGUCCUAAGGGAAGAAUAAUGACGGUACCUUAGGAGGAAGCCCCGGCUAACUACGUGCCAGCAGCCGCAGCAAUACGUAGGGGGCGAGCGUUCACGGGAAUCACUGGGCGUAAAGGGUGCGUAGGAGGCUCUGCAAGUCAGUAGUUAAAUCCCUCGGCUCACCCGAGGUAAGCUCUUGAAACUGUAGGGCUUGAGUGCAGGAUAGGAGGGCGGAAUGCCUAGUGUAGCGGUGAAAUGCGUAGAUAUUAGGAGGAACACCAGUGGCGAAGGCAGCUCUCUGGACUGCAACUGACGCUGGGGCACGAAAGCGUGGGGAGCGAACAGGAUUAGAUACCCCUGUAGUC